CACUCAACGGCAGACCUUGCAGUUGGCUUUGUACUCAUGAUCGCCUACACUGUCGGUCCAGCCACGUGUUUAAUUCUUCCCAUUCACGUUUGUAUUUCUGUAAACGCCUUCGCUUCGCGGGUGGAGGUGGAGCAGUGUUUGGAGCCGACAUUUUCCCGCCCGGCAUUCUGCGAAGAAGACCCGCCCUACUCUGCCUCUGAUUGGCUCUGUGGCUAAACCUCACCAAUCCAACCAACGAAGGCGACGAGUGUUAGCCAAUCAGAGGCCGAGUAGGGCAGGUCUUCAGCGUGUGUUGGAUGAAAAUACGGAACAAAUCGCGUCCCGUAUUGAUUUAAAUAUGUGACUAUUUCACAUGUAAAUGGUCGGGCGGUGGCAACUCUAGUCAUCAGUGCUUCAUGAUUGUCUGCGCCUGAUUCCAUGACAACCCCUCCUGUAGCUGCGUCACAGGAGACAAAGAAUCUUGUGGAUGGAGGUACAAAAGCAGUUGAAGAAAGCGAGUGAUAGGAAAUCAAGAGUGAACCUUUGACGGACAUUCACCCUGUGAAGAGAGCUCCGGGACUUGAGAGGCUUCAAAAACAACAUGCAGUUUGUCUUCUGUCUACCAGACAUUGAAGGGCCCACCAGCACCACUGGCCGCAUAGAAGGAACCACAUCAUAAGGAGGAAGAUGUUCAGUCUGCACAGGCCACAAGCACAGACAGGCCAUGUGAUCCGGUCUGCAAGUUACUGCAGCUUUCCAAAGCAGCCCUCAUCUCCUGGGAACAUGUGCGUGACAUCAUGAUGGCAAGAGCCAAAACGCAGGGUGAACAGUUCGCUGAGGAUAAGGAGACAAACAGAGUGGAAGACAUGAAUGGAGCGAUGGAGAGGACUAGAGGAGGGCAGGGCUGUGCCCACCUGCCUGUCUGCCCUGCACCAUCCUUCUGACAGGAAGGUGAUGCAUGAGCCUACACAACAGAGAUGCAGUGGUGAGUCAGCAGGCAGCAAUCUAGAGUCCAUCAGAUGUCUUAACAAGCCAGGAGAGAGGUUUCUACCGCUGGAGAUGGCCUCGUUGUCUGUGGAAAGCAGAGGCUGUGAGCCUGCUCUCCAGGACGCCCCAGGCACCGAGGACCCUACUUUGGUGACUAUUAUGCUGGCAACAUGUGCUCUCGUACCCUCAUUCAACUUUGGCUGCUUAAGAAUUAAGUGCACUCCACCGGGGCUUUUAGCAAAAAACGUCUCGAGGCUAUAUUUUCUGUGUGGCUUUUUAAUAUGAAAGUGAAGCAAGCAAGCAAGCACACACACAAACAUACACAUGCACACAAACGAUUGGAGCUCGCUCCCUCAGAUGCCUCUGGAACCGAAGAUGGGGCAACUAUUUUCAUCAUUAGCGCUGCGCAUGAAACAGCCAUUGAGCAACGCAGCCUUUCAAACAGUGAGGCAUGUCGAGAUGGGGAGGGUAACGGAACAAAAAGAUCUAGAAACAGAAAGAGGUGGUGAGGAAAACGUUUCCUAUAGAGCAAAUUUGAUUGAUGGAGCAGGAGAAUUUCAUUUGUGCGCUCUGCAAAUGUUAACUCUGCAAACUCUUUAUGUUGAAUUGAGAUAAGAGACACAGAAUGAGGAAGACAGAAGGGGAAACGUUGGAAAUAAGGGGGGAAAAUGACAAAAGAAAGGAGAGUUUGUUAGAACAAUAGGACCAGUCAGAGAUUAAACAGCAGAAGCCUGAAUUUCUUGUUACUUUUUUGCUGCUCAGUCAGUCUAAAUAUAGCUCUCCUCUCCUCUCCUCUCCUCUCCUCUCCUCUCCUCUCCCC